CGCGAGGGAGGUGACUUCAGCACUCGGCGAAGUACUACCGCAGAGACCGAUGAGCUAACAGAGCCCGAUGAGGCAAAGUUGAGAAGAACUUUGUGAGAGAGAGUUCAAGAGUACGUGAGACCGUUCGGGGGCAGACCUAAGAAACCCAAAAGAUCGAACGGGCGAGAUUCAUCGUCAGCGGCGCUGGCUUCGCGUCGGUGGGCGAUGUCCCGCGGAGUCCUCGCGGCUCGCGCGCGGGCACGCUACCGUGCGCCGAUGUCCGGCUGUCGUCGUCGUGCACUUCUCCCCAAGUAGAACGUCGCGACCCGCUGGGUGUCGGACUACGGCCCGGGUGCGGUGACUGUCGCGUCGCCGGUAAAACGGCACGCGACAAACCCCCGGUCGCCCGGCCGGCUGCUCGGCGGUACGCGCAAGGUAUCAGGCCGCACUUUCUACACGGUGCGUCAAGGCCGUCGCAAGCGCGCGCCACGGUACUCGGAGGUUACGGACUCAGCGCCGUCCCCGGUCCUGGCCCGCUGUUGGUUUACAAAGUACGGAUCACCUUCGACAGGGCUGCGAACGUCUCUCCCUCUCACAUGCGGCGGGGGAACGAUACUGGUCGGCGACGCUACUGCUUUGGGUACUCUUAGGACCCGUCUUGACACACGGACCAACGAGUCUAACAUGCACGCGAGUCAUUGGGACUUGUCGCGAGACCUAAAGGCGUAAUGAAAGUGAAAGUCAGCCCUGGUCGUCCACCGAGGGAUGAUGGGUCGCGUCGCGAUGCGGCCUCGUACUCCCGGGGCGUCUCGUUCUCAACGCGAGAAGAGGCGCACCCAGAGCGAACACGUUGGGACCCGAAAGAUGGUGAACUAUGCCUGGUCUGGACGAAGUCAGGGGAAAUCCUGAUGGAAGUCCGUAGCGAUUCUGACGUGCAAUCGAUCAUCUCAACUGGGUAUAGGGGCGAAAGACUAAUCGAACCAUCUAGUAGCUGGUUCCUUCCGAAAAAAAAUAAGUUGAAAAAGAAAAA
rnacentral:rRNA from 1 species